CCUACGGGAGGCAGCAGUGAGGAAUAUUGGUCAAUGGACGAGAGUCUGAACCAGCCAAGUAGCGUGAAGGAUGACGGCCCUAUGGGUUGUAAACUUCUUUUAUAUGGGAAUAAAAUGCUGCACGCGUGCUAUUUUGUAUGUACCACAUGAAUAAGGAUCGGCUAAUUUCGUGACAGCAGCCGCGGUAAUACGGAGGGUCCGGGCGUUAUCCGGAUUUAUUGGGGUUAAAGGGAGCGUAGGUGGAAUGUGAAGUCCGUUGUGAAAGUCGGCGGCUCAACCGUAGAAUUGCGGUGGAAACUGGGAGGCUUGAGUGCAGGAGAGGUAGGCGGAAUUCGUGGUGUAGCGGUGAAAUGCGUAGAUAUCACGAAGAACUCCGAUGGCGAAGGCAGCUCACUGGACUGCAACUGACGCUGAGGCUCGAAAGUGUGGGUAUCAAACAGGAUUAGAUACCCGAGUAGUC
rnacentral:rRNA from 1 species